AUUGAACGCUGGCGGAAUGCUUUACACAUGCAAGUUGAGCGGCAGCGCGGGGGCAACCCUGGCGGCGAGCGGCGAACGGGUGAGUAACACAUCGGAACGUACCCAGUUGUGGGGGAUAGCCCGGCGAAAGCCGGAUUAAUACCGCAUACGACCUGAGGGUGAAAGGGGGGGAUCGCAAGACCUCUCGCAGUUGGAGCGGCCGAUGGCGGAUUAGCUAGUUGGUGAGGUAAAGGCUCACCAAGGCGACGAUCCGUAGCUGGUCUGAGAGGAGGGCCAGCCACAAUGGAGCUGAGACACGGUCCAGACUCCUACGGUAGGCGGCAGUGGGGAAUUUUGGACAAUGGGGGCAACCAUGAUCCAGCCAUUCCGCGUGGGUGAAGAAGGCCUCCGGGUUGUAAAGCUCUUUCGGCAGGAACGAAACGGUGGAGGCUAAUACCUUUCAUCAAUGACGGUACCUGAAGAAGAAGCACCGGCUAACUACGUGCCAGCCGCCGCCGUAA
rnacentral:rRNA from 1 species